AUUUUGGAAAGCUUCAGAAAUUAUCACUUCUGAAACUAUACUACAAUCAAUUAUCUGGCGAAAUCCCACAGAGUAUUGGUCGUCUUCCAGCAUUGAUAUAUUUUGAAUUGUUUACUAACAAUUUAUCAGGUGUUCUCCCUCCGGAACUUGGUCGGUAUUCAAAGCUUGAAACAUUUGAGGUUUCAUCCAACAGGCUCACUGGGAGGCUGCCUGGAUUUUUAUGCAGCGGAGGAAAUUUAGCAGGAUUGGUAGCCUUCGAUAACAAUCUCAAUGGAGAAUUGCCAGA
rnacentral:misc_RNA from 1 species